rnacentral:rRNA from 1 species
UACGUAGGGAUCAAGCGUUGUCCGGAAUCAUUGGGCGUAAAGAGCGUGUAGGCGGCUUGUUAAGUCUUGCGUGAAAUCUCGGGGCUCAACCCCGAGCGGUCGUGAGAAACUGGCAGGCUAGAGUGCGGGAGAGGAGAGUGGAAUUCCUGGUGUAGCGGUGAAAUGCGCAGAUAUCAGGAAGAACACCCGUGGCGAAGGCGGCUCUCUGGAACGCAACUGACGCUGAGACGCGAAAGCGUGGGGAGCAAACAGA